AUUGAACGCUGGCGGCAGGCCUAACACAUGCAAGUCGAACGAGUGGCGGACGGGUGGAUAAUGUCUGGGCAACUGCCUGAUGGACGGGGAUAACUACUGGAAACGGUAGCUAAUACCGCAUACCAUCAGAUGUGCCCAGAGGGGAUUAGCUAGUUGGUGGGGUAACGGUUCACCAAGGCGACGAUCCCUAGCUGGUCUGAGAGGAUGACCAGCCACACUGGAACUGAGACACGGUCCAGACUCCUACGGGAGGCAGCAGUGGGGAAUAUUGCACAAUGGGCGCAAGCCUGAUAGAGCCAUGCCGCGUGUAUGAAGAAGGCCUUCGGGUUGUAAAGUACUUUCAGCGGGGAGGCGUUACCCGCAGAAGAAGCACCGGCUAACUCCGUGCCAGCAGCCGCGGUAAUAC
rnacentral:rRNA from 1 species